GACGCUGAAGCCUGAUGGUCGGGCGGCUGUCUGCAAAGCAGUUUUUCGUGGGUUCGAUUCCCACCGGCGUCU
rnacentral:tRNA from 1 species